rnacentral:rRNA from 1 species
UACGGGGGGGGUAAGCGUUGUUCGGAAUUACUGGGCGUAAAGGGCGUGUAGGCGGCCAACUAAGUCCGACGUGAAAUCCCCAGGCUUAACCUGGGAACUGCGUCGGAUACUGGAUGGCUUGAAUCCGGGAGAGGGAUGCAGAAUUCCAGGUGUAGCGGUGAAAUGCGUAGAUAUCUGGAGGAAUACCGGUGGCGAAGGCGGCAUCCUGGACCGGCAUUGACGCUGAAGCGCGAAAGCUAGGGGAGCAAACGGG